AUUGAACGCUGGCGGCAGGCCUAACACAUGCAAGUCGAACGGUAACAGGAAGAAGCUUGCUUCUUUGCUGACGAGUGGCGGACGGGUGAGUAAUGUCUGGGAAACUGCCUGAUGGAGGGGGAUAACUACUGGAAACGGUAGCUAAUACCGCAUAACGUCGCAAGACCAAAGAGGGGGACCUUCGGGCCUCUUGCCAUCGGAUGUGCCCAGAUGGGAUUAGCUUGUUGGUGGGGUAACGGCUCACCAAGGCGACGAUCCCUAGCUGGUCUGAGAGGAUGAACGGCCACAUUGGGACUGAGACACGGCCCAG
rnacentral:rRNA from 1 species